CAACUAAUUCAGUUCACAACUCAAAGGUUCACGUAAGUGCUUUUCCUGGAGACAAUGAUCAGACUUCAGAGUGCACCAGAAGUACUUUAUUUCUGUUUCCCAUUUUAACACACAAAAUGUUAGAAAGUCUUGCAGUCAAGGGUCAAGAUUUAAUUAAAUGAAGAGUUUUUACAGCUUCAUUAAGGAGAUUCUUAAAUAAAUUUGGCUUUUUAUUCCUUUUCCUACAAUUGUCUGGCAGUGUAAUGUUUUCUACUUCAUGAAUUCAAUGAUUAUUAUUAUUGUUUUGUGUCCUUGCGUUAAUUUGUGCUAAGUACCAGGAAUUUUACCUAACUUUGUUUUAUACCAAAUUUGGUUCCGUAUUAAAAUGGAAAUGGAAAUGUCAACAGAGUGAAAAAGACAUCUUAGAAUUAUCAUGAAAUAGUUUUGAGCCCCUGUGCCCUCUCAAAGUGUCCCAGGGACCACUACACGUCUACAGAUCACACUUUGAGGACUACUGACCUAAUAUAAUGCCAGCGUUGGUAACCAUUGACAUAGUUAAGAAUCGCAGUACUUAGAAUUUGUAUUUACAACUAGAAGUGUUAAAACAACAUUCCUCAUAUAGAAAUAAUUUAGGCAUAUUUGUAUAUGUGUUAUUGGUCAGAAUGAUUUAUUUACAUAACCCAUUUCUGCUGUUCAGCAGUAUAACAAUUGAAUAACAAUUUCAUUAAAAUGUUUACAUAUUUAAUCACAAAACAGUUUAAUCAUUUUAUGAUGUUGCUACUACUCCAUAAUUUCAAAAUAAUUAAAACUAAUAUGAAGUGGCCACAUGGCCACAUGGUCCUAGAGACAUAUAGUUAAUACCUUGUGUUAAAUAUAAAUGCACCAAGUAAAUCCGAUAUAAUAUGCAUUCAUAAUAAAUGUAGGUGAACCCACAAGGCUGAUAGAACUCAGAAAUAAACUCAACAUACAAUAAUACUGCUUGAGCCAGAAAUACCUGAAGUUUUUAUAUUUCCAAUUUAUAUGUAGUAGAUGCUUAAAGUGGAAAAUAGUGUUAUGAUGACUUAUUAAGCAAUGAAGUCAGCACAGUUUCUAUUUGGACAGAAAUUCUGACUUUAUAUUUCUUUUCUCUCUCUAGGUCUGAUAGCUGUUGUGAUUUUUAUCUUGCUUUGCAUCACUGCCAUAGCUGUUCGCAUUUAUCAGCAGAAAAGGUUAUAUAAAAGAAGUGAGGCAAAAAGGUCAGAGAAUGUAGACAGUGCUGAGGCUGUUCUGAAAAGUGAGCUUAAUAUACAAAAUGCAGUCAAUGAAAAUCAGAAAGAGUACUUCUUCUGAUUGGCAGCUAUGAUUUAACAUAAAAUUAUGAUAGUUUGUUUUAAUAGCCAGGGGUUCUCAAUGGAAAAACGAAUGCUCUUACACUGAAUGUACAGGCAGUGGGCUUGCAGCACUGCCAUCUUGCCAUGUACAGGCUUGGGGUGGCUCCAGGAAGCCUCGUCCAGUGAUAUAUUUCUCAUAGCAUUCAUUCUAUGGAACAAGAAAUUAGAUAUUGCUGUUAAUUUUCAACUGUUCUGGUAUGAUCUAAAACAAGUUUAACCUGCUUAAUGGCUACAGUUUUUACAUGUGAAAACUGUAGCCUUGGUCUCUUAACCAUGUAAUACAUAAGUUUUGUUAGAGGUAAAAAUUAAAUUUGGACUAUAAUGUCCUUGCUUUAUUUGAGAACAUUUGCUGUGUUUGCUUUUGUCUCCUCGUGGUGUUAUUCAUAGACCUGGAAAUGCUUCUCAGAUCCUGUGUGGCCGGUGUUUGCAUCUUCAGUGGCCACAAGCAUAAUAAAGCCCCUUUGCCUUUCUCUGUAUUAUAUUCAAUACAAUACAUCAAUAGUCUUG
rnacentral:lncRNA from 1 species